GGUUCCGGUGGCUUAGUGGUCUGAACGUCCGCCUCAGAUGCGAGAGGUCGUGUGUUCGAUACCCGGUCGAGUCA